rnacentral:rRNA from 1 species
UACGGGGGGGGUAAGCGUUGUUCGGAAUUACUGGGCGUAAAGGGCUCGUGAGAGCGGCCAACUAAGUCGGACGUGAAAUCCCUCAGCUUAAUUGGGGAACUGCGUCUGAUACUGGAUGGCUUGAGGUUGGGAGAGGGAUGCGGAAUUCCAGGUGGUAGCGGUGAAAUCGCGUAGAUAUCUGGAGGAACACCGGUGGCGAAGGCGGCAUCCUGGACCAAUUCUGACGCUGAGGAGCGAAAGCCAGGGGAGCAAACGGG